UCCACCCUCUUGCGGGCGAGCUCUGGCUACCAUUGGACUGUCCGGCGCGAGGGGAAGGGUGAUCUAUAAAUAGAGAAUGGGUACACGUGACAGUUUGGCAGCUGCUCCUACCCCUCCACCCCGCCCAACCUUCAGCUUCUGAGGCUGCGCAGGGGGAGAAAAGGGUUAGGGGGUCGAGCCCUGACUUCGCCUCCUCUUCCAAGAAGCCUUCCUAGACACUCAGCUGUAAAACCAGACGGACGUCCUCCGAUAAAAUUGUUUCUACUUAGGGCCGGCUUCACCGGCUUGGAAUCCACUUAGAAGGGUCUUCGCGCUUGGUUGAAUGUUCUGCAAUUUCUGUCUUGAAAUUUUUAGUUUUUGAGCAAGGGGCCCCUUAUUUUCACUUUGCACUAGGCCAAAUAUAUAGCCGGUCUUGCUGCUAAGAGUCUAAGAUCGAUUGCAUUCCAAAUUCUGGAAUUAUAAGACCCUGGGUGGAAGAUUCUAUGCUUUGACCAGAAGAGAGUCUAAGCAGCUUUUGUCUCCCAGGUGCUAGGAGGAUGUGUGCUCAUCAUUCUUCCAUUCCAGGGGCCUUUGUUCUACGUUCUAAGGGGCUUUGUUCUCAGCCUUCUAUGAUGCUCUAUUCUCAACGUUCUCUGGUCCUAGGAGUCUGAGCCUGACAUUCGUUUCCAAGGCUUCCUGCUGUCUCUCCAGGCUCCGCAAGCAGGGCUGGGGCACCCUCAGGCGGCCAAUCUGUAUCACUACGCCGAGCCUGCCUCUACCAACUUCCAAGACCUAGCUCUAAUAUUCACACUCAUCUCUCAGACAGACCUUGGCUCCCUAAAAGCCAAGGCCCAGAAGAUCAUACAAGAAAUUCCCUCUUUUAUGAUUCCCCGUGCACGAAGUGACCUUCUGGUGGUGAGAUGGAGAGAAAUUGAUAGUGGCGAUAGACAGCAAAGUCUCCAGGAGCCAGACUUCCUCGGGAAACUUGGGGCAUGUGUGGAGUGUGAGUGAGUGAGCUGCUGGAAUGAAUUGACCAGACAGGACAUCAUCUAUGUAUGGGAUUAGAAUGGAAUUACGGGAGAAAACCAAAUCCCUCAAAUUAGAAUUCAGGAUCGGAAAAAAAAUGUCAAGUCCAAUGUCCCUUUUCUUUACAGUAUAUACAAGUGUCUCUAUCAACAUUAGGUUUUGAGGCUGAGUGCAGUGGCCCACACCUGUAAUCCCAGCACUUUUGAGAGGUGGAGGAUCGUUCAACCCCAGGAGUUCAAGACCAGCCUGGGCAACAUAGUGAGACCCCAUCUCUAUAACAAAUAAAAAACAUGCCCGGG
rnacentral:antisense_RNA from 1 species